GUGGGGAAUUUUGCGCAAUGGGGGAAACCCUGACGCAGCAACGCCGCGUGAGUGAUGAAGGCUUUCGGGUCGUAAAGCUCUGUCUAGAGGGGCGAAAUGCAUGUAGGUUAAUACCCUUUAUGCUUGACGGUACCUCUGAAGGAAGCACCGGCUAACUCCGUGCCAGCAGCCGCGGUAAUACGGAGGGUGCGAGCGUUGUUCGGAAUUAUUGGGCGUAAAGCGCGUGUAGGCGGUUUGUUAAGUCUGAUGUGAAAGCCCUGGGCUCAACCUGGGAAGUGCAUUGGAAACUGGCGGACUUGAAUACGGGAGAGGGUAGUGGAAUUCCUGGUGUAGGAGUGAAAUCCGUAGAUAUCAGGAGGAACACCGGUGGCGAAGGCGGCUGCCUGGACCGAUAUUGACGCUGAGACGCGAAAGCGUGGGUAGCAAACAGGAUUAGAAACCCUGGUAGUCC
rnacentral:rRNA from 1 species